rnacentral:rRNA from 1 species
UACAUGGGGUGCAAACGUUGCUCGGAAUUAUUGGGCGUAAAGCGCACGUAGGCGGUCCGUUAAGUCGGAUGUGAAAGCCCCCGGCUCAACCGGAGAAGUGCAUCCGAAACUGGCGGGCUAGAGUACGAAAGAGGGUCGCGGAAUUCCCGGUGUAGAGGUGAAAUUCGUAGAUAUCGGGAGGAACACCGGUGGCGAAGGCGGCGACCUGGGUCGAUACUGACGCUGAGGUGCGAAAGCGUGGGGAGCAAACAGG